GAACAGCUGGUUGUUGCUCAGUGAGACUCCGGGCAGCCGAGACUCCUCCACGCCGCCUCUGCUCACCUCCACCCACCGCCGGUCUUUGAAGUACUGCGGCGCUCGGACGAUGACGAGCUCGGAGGAGGAGAUGGACCGAGCCGGGUCGGCGUCGGACUCCACCACGGCCUUCACGAAGCCCAGCCAAUCAAACUGCGGACAGCGGGGAGACGUACACAGCAGAGGUCACGUGUAUAACAUGGAGGAAUAAAACAUGUAUUUACACGCAA